rnacentral:rRNA from 1 species
CAGCCGCCGCGGUAAUACGAAGGGUGCAAGCGUUACUCGGAAUUACUGGGCGUAAAGCGUGCGUAGGUGGUGGUUUAAGUCCGUUGUGAAAGCCCUGGGCUCAACCUGGGAAUUGCAGUGGAUACUGGGUCACUAGAGUGUGGUAGAGGAUAGUGGAAUUUCCGGUGUAGCAGUGAAAUGCGUAGAGAUCGGAAGGAACAUCUGUGGCGAAGGCGACUAUCUGGGCCAACACUGACACUGAGGCACGAAAGCGUGGGGAGCAAACAGGAUUAGAUACCCGUGUAGUCCCUGUCUCUUAUAC